AAUUUGGAGAGUUUGAUCCUGGCUCAGGACGAACGCUGGCGGCGUGCCUAAUACAUGCAAGUCGAGCGGAUCUUGUCCUUCGGGACAAGAUUAGCGGCGGACGGGUGAGUAACACGUGGGUAACCUGCCUGUAAGACUGGGAUAACAUUCGGAAACGRAUGCUAAUACCGGAUACGCGGUUUGGUCGCAUGACCGGAYCGGGAAAGAUGGAGCAAUCUAUCACUUACAGAUGGACCCGCGGCGCAUUAGCUAGUUGGUGAGGUAACGGCUCACCAAGGCGACGAUGCGUAGCCGACCUGAGAGGGUGAUCGGCCACACUGGGACUGAGACACGGCCCAGACUCCUACGGGAGGCAGCAGUAGGGAAUCUUCCGCAAUG
rnacentral:ncRNA from 1 species